rnacentral:rRNA from 1 species
ACGGAGAGAUUCAUCGUCACUCCGCGGCGUGCGCGCGCUCGUCGGAUGCGACGCGUCCUCGGCCGCGUCGCACCGCGAGCCGCGCGUCGACGUCCGCGGACGGCGUGCACUUCUCUCUUAGUAAUGCAUCGCGACCCGUUCGACGUCGGCCUAAGCGCCGUCCGGGAGCCCGGUCGUCCUCGCCCUCGCGGGGGCGGUCGGACCGAGACGGUCGCCGACCGGCCGUCGGACGGUACAACGCAUGGAUCGCGCACGCGUUUACGACGCGUCCGGCCCGACGCAAGGUCCGCGACGUCGCCGAGGUCCUGCCCGUGUGCGGGCCUCGGCGCGUCGCGCCUGUCGUCGCAGCCGUGCUGUCUCGGACUGUGCGCGUCCCCGUCUGCGAUGAUUCAGUUUCGGGCACUCGCAGGACCCGUCUUGAAACACGGACCAAGGAGUCUAGCAUGUGUGCGAGCAAUUGAGAUCGUCAAACUGAAAGGCACAACGAAAGUGAAGGCGCGCGCUCGUCGCGCGCUCAGGGAGGAUGGAGCGUCGGUCCAGGUCGACCUCUCGCACUCCCGAGGCGUCUCGUUUCCAAUCCGUGAAUGCAGGCGCGCUCUGAGCGCAGAUGCU